AGGAGAAACAGCCCUAGUGGCGGGGCCAGCUCUGGAAACCUGGAUUCAGCCCCCGCAGGAACUCCGGAGCUCUCCGUCUGCAGGGCCUGGAGGAUCUAUACCCUC
rnacentral:pre_miRNA from 1 species